CAAUAGUCCCACAUCGGAUGGGAAUGGGGUUGUCAUUGGGUUUAUAUGAGACUUAGACACUAGUAAUAAUAACUGGGCUUAAGCAUUUUGGGCUGUGGUUGGGCCCAACGAGUUAUUAUUGCUAGUGGGCUGGGUCGUUUCAGUGGCACUCGUAGGCGCUACCCAACUGAGUAUGCAAACGUGUCUCUGCCGAGCUCAAUCAGGCUCUCACAGACUAUAAUCAAAGCAAAUUGGUUUAACUGGUCUAACAACCAAAUCUCACGUGCCCUCGGCACAAUCUGAUGCAAAAACAGCAAUCUGAGUCCACCGUCAACCGCGACGUCACCCGACAGUCAGAAACAGUCUACACACUAUUGUAAAAUAAGCUCGGCAUCCCAGCACGAGCGUUAACUCGUCUUAUACUAAUCUGGGUAUCUACCGCAUACAAAUAGCGGCGAUACAAAUGAACCACAGCGCCUAACGCCAUCUGAGUAUCACAUGCGCACUAACAGCGUGGAUACAAAACGCAACAGCUUUAGAAAACUAUCUGAAUAUCAAAUGCGCACUAACAGCGUGGAGACAAAGCGCAACAGCUUCAGAAGCUAUCUGAGUAUCAAAUGCGGACUAACGGUAUGAAUACAAAGCACAACAGCUUCAGAAGCUAAAUCUUGUAACUUUUCAUAAAGUGACAGUGCAGGAUCUAUAUGUUUUCUCCUAAGUCAAUUCCAAGUCCAACAUGUAAAAUCAAACUACUAGCUUAACUUCAAAUUCAGAUUUAAAUACUAUUCCAUGAAUUCGAAUACUAGCAAGAAAAUAAACCAAUAAUACAUGUCGACUAUACUAA
rnacentral:lncRNA from 1 species